rnacentral:rRNA from 1 species
GACGAACGCUGGCGGCGUGCUUAACACACGCAAGUCGAACGGAGAGGCCUUUUCGGAGGUACUCGAGUGGCGAACGGGUGAGUAACACGUGGGUGAUCUGCCCUGCACUCUGGGAUAAGCCUGGGAAACUGGGUCUAAUACCGGAUAGGACCGCACUUUAGUGUGUGUGGUGGAAAGUUUUUUCGGUGUAGGAUGAGCCCGCGGCCUAUCAGCUUGUUGGUGGGGUAAUGGCCUACCAAGGCGGCGACGGGUAGCCGGACUGAGAGGUUGGUCGGCCACAUUGGGACUGAGAUACGGCCCAGACUCCUACGGGAGGCAGCAGUGGGGAAUAUUGCACAAUGGGCGCAAGCCUGAUGCAGCGACGCCGCGUGGGGGAUGACGGCCUUCGGGUUGUAAACUCCUUUCGCCAGGGACGAAGCGUUUUGUGACGGUACCUGGAGAAGAAGCACCGGCUAACUACGUG